AAGGCAGUGGCCCUGGUUACCUGCUAAUUAUAGAUGGAUAUAUACACUGCUUAGCUUGACAUUCAAGGCUCCUUGAGGUCUUAACCCAACUUACUGUUAUAACCUUAUUCCUCUUCCUCUUCAGCUCACCAACUUCGGCUCAGCGCAACCCAGCCAAACAUUUGCCAUGCCCUGCGCUUGUCAAGGAACCAGAAAGGCAUUGGAGAUACCAAGGUGGAGAAGACCCAGACCAUUCCUUUGAGAGGAACAAGAUUAAGUUGUUAUCAAGAAGGAGCAACCUUAACCAAACAGGAAGGUUCAAUUCAGUAGGUUUUCAACAGGGUCAAGUUUCAAAGGCAGGCUGCUUUUUAUAGGGAGAUGAACUUGACUUUUGUUUCUUUCCAUUUCGGAGCUUGCUCCAUGAUGAUAUCUCAACGGGACACGAUGCAUUUUAACCCCUUGGGGAAUGACAAACAAUGACACGCAGCCAUCAGUGCAGAGUAUACAGAGUGUCUGAUGGGAUGAAGUGGACCCUGAGCACCCCAUGCCUCCAGGAAGAUGGGUUGAGAUCCCCAGGGCUUCGACACUAUCAGUAACACCUCCCUCGGCAUGUAAAACACUUUAAAAUUCAUAACGUUUUCAAACACAUCAUCUUGUUUGAGUCCCACAACCCUGGUGUGAGAUUGGGAUUUUCAUUUUCAUUUUACAGGGGAGGAGACCAAAGCUUUGAGGGGCUAACUGACUUUCCCAAGGCUACGUGGCUAGUAAGGGCCUGAGAUGGGAUUCAGCCUCCGCUCCCCAGACCUCAGUCCAGAGCUCAUGCUCCAAUGUCACAGCUGCCAGAGUGACUUGAAACAAAACCAGGCAGGGCUUGUUCAAAGACAUAAGCCAGCAGCUCACCGUGGGGCCUGAUGGGGCAUGUUGCAUGGAAACUGGAAAUUGGCGUUGAGACCCAGGCUUACUGUGGCACUACAGGGUUACUGCCACUCCAGUGGAUGACACCUGAAAUGGAUGCAAACAAAGGGCUUCUUCUUGCAGUAUGGAAUGUCACCUUACCAAGGCCCAGGAGCUGUUGUCAUGUGCUGAGCAUAAGCCUGCCAGAGCAACGGAUAGGUGGAAAGGAGAGCUCUGAGCUGAGAAUGAGACUGGAGGCAGGCGCAAGCCGUUCUGAGACCCUGUCCAGCCUGACCAUCUGAUUCGGGACGCUCCUAGCAGGUGCUCCAGGUCUUCUCUGGCUCCUCUUCCCCUUGCUGGCCAGGUUCCAGCUCCAUUCGUGCCCUUUAAGCUUCUCAGACAUGCGCAGCUCUUUCCUACUUCAGGGUCUCCAGGCGUGUUGCUCCCUUUACCUGGAGCACUCUUCCUCUGUUCUUUGCAAGUCAGAUUUCUCCACAAGAAUGUUCUCAUCUCAGAAAGUCCUUCCUUGGCCACUGAAAUGGGUUGACUAGUGACUCCCAAAAGAUAUGUUCACGCCCUGACACCUGGAAACUGUGAAGCUGACCUUAUUUGGAAAAAGGGUCUUUGCAGAUGUCAUUAAGUUCAGGAUCUUGAGAUGAGAUCAUUCUGGACAAGGGUGGGGUUUAAAUCCAAUGACAGGUGUCCUUAUAAGAAGAGAGAACAUGGAGUCGCACAGGGAGAAGGCAAUGUGAAGAUGGAGGCAGAGACCAGAGUGAGCAGCCCAAGCCAAGGAAUACUGGCAGCCACCAGCAGCUGGAUGAGGCAAGGCAGGAUUCUCCCCUAGGCCCUUGAGAGGGAGCACAGCGCUGCUGACACCUGGAUUUCAGAGGUCUGGCUUGCAGAAUUGUGAGAGAAUAAAUUCCUGUUUUUAAACCAUCAAGUUUGUGUAAUUUGUUAUAGCC
ensembl:lncRNA